GAUAAAUGGCUUCUGGCAGCCAAUCGUCCAUAGCGUCGUUGCUUUUUGAUCCUCCGAUGACGGCCCUUCCUAUCAUUGCGAAGCAGAAUUCGCCAAGCGUUGGAUUUUCCACCCACUAAUAGGGAACGUGAGCUAGGUUUAGACCGUCGUGAGACAGGUU
rnacentral:ncRNA from 1 species